GCGGAGAUAGAAAGAGAGAGGCAGGGGAUGGAGUUCGAGAAAAGGAAGGCGCAAGCCCUGGCCGCCAUGGCGGCGCCGCGGCCGGACAAGUCCCCCAAGGGCACGGUGGACGCCCCCAUCGUCCCCCUGCUUGACGCUAUCAAUCGCCACCCCUCCUUCUUCACCACCAGCUCCUGCUCCGGCCGCAUUUCGAUCCUCGCACACCGAACCAACCCGCCCCCUUCUUCCGCCGACGCGACCGCGGGAAACCCUAAACUCGAGGCUGCGGCGCCCAAGAAGAAGAAGAAGGCCGGCGGAGGUGGUUGGCUUUUCGUCUCGCACGACUCCGCCGACCCGGAGGCCAUCGUCGACCUCCUCUUCGGCGACCGCCGGGAUUCCGAGGGAGGGGAUCUGGUGUUCCGGUUCGAGCCCCUCAUCGUGGCCGUCGAGUGCCGGGACCUCGCCUCGGCGCAGUCGCUCGUCUCUACUGCUAUUUCUUGCGGGUUUAGAGAGUCCGGUAUGACAAGCAUACAAAAACGUAUAAUGGUUGCCAUACGAUGUUCUAUACGUUUGGAGGUACCAUUGGGCCAAAUUGGUUUUAUUAUGAUUUCACCAGAGUAUGUUCGGUACCUUGUUAGGAUUGCUAAUGAUAAAAUGGAGGCAAACAGAAAGAGAACGGAUGGCUUUCUUCAUGUUUUGCAAUCUAAGGUUCUCCCAGGACCAGGAAAGGAGGUGAUUGAUUCUAAUAAAAAGGGUCUAGAACAGAUUGCCGAUAAAGGAUUUUCAUUAGAUUUUGAAACUAAGCCUAAUGUCGUAUUGUCGGAGAUAUCAAUUGAGAAUGGCACUUCAAAGUCUCAUACCGAAGAUAAUAUCUUGGGCUUCAUCAAAGAUAGAUGUGAUUCCGAACCUGCUGGAUAUUCUGGAGAAGACAAAUGCGCUGUUGCUUCCUGCAAGAACUCACUAAAAGUAUCUGAUCCUUUACAUGACAAGGAAAUUGGAUACAGCCAUAAAGAGAUAGCUGACAAAGAUUCUAACAUAGAGUUGUCAGGAACACCAAAGUGCUUUCUUUCCGUUGUCAUGUUAAAGAUUGUUGGCGAGCCGAUUGAGAAGCUCUUCCUCUGGGGUCAAUCAGCUUGUGCUUCAAACAAUGGAGGGCAGGAACAUAUCCUUGUCUUUGGUGGCUUUGGAGGCGUAGGACGACAUGAAAGAAGAAAUUGCUCCCUGGUGCUUGAUCCCCAGUCUGGCCUGUUAAGUGAAAUAAAUUCUACAAAACCCCCAUCUCCACGCUUGGGUCAUACAGCCUCCAUGGUGGGGAGAGAGAUUUAUGUUAUUGGAGGAAGGGGUGGUCCUUCUCAAAUUCUUAAUGAUGUCUGGGUUCUAGACACCACUGAAAAUAGGUGGUCAUUAUUAGAAUGUACUGGCAGUGCUUUUAACCCUAGGCACCGCCAUGCAGCUGCAGCUGUAGGCUCAAAUAUAUAUGUCUUUGGAGGUCUUAAUAAUGAAGUGAUAUAUUCCUGCAUGAAUGUCUUAAACACUCAAACUCUUCAGUGGAGCAAUGUUAGUAUCCAAGGAGAUUGGCCCUGUGCACGUCAUUCACAUUCUUUGGUGGCCAGCGGCCCUCAGUUGUUUAUGUUUGGAGGUUAUGAUGGUGAGAAGGCACUAGGCGACCUCUACAGUUUUGAUGUUAGAACAUUACAGUGGAGAAAAGAGGAGACAUCUGGGAGAGCUCCUUCUCCAAGAUUCUCACAUUCUAUGUUUAUCUAUAAAAAUUAUCUUGGGAUCAUCGGCGGUUGCCCUGUUAGGCAACAGUAUCAAGAAUUGGCUUUAUUGAACAUGCAUCAUCUUGUCUGGAUGCAUGUGACUAUUGACUCUCUUGGUGGAGACCUUUGGGUUCGCAGCUCAACCUGUCUUAUUGGCGAAGAUCUUGUUAUUGUUGGUGGUGGAGCAUCAUGUUAUGCAUUUGGAACAAAGUUUAAUGAGCCAAUGAAAAUUGAUUUACAUUUGUUAGAGUCUCUACACAACCUCCCUUCAGAUAAGGAAAAUAAGUCAUUUUUACAGUUUCAUGACACCCAUGGAAACAUGAAUCUACAACAGGACAAGCAUGUAGAUGGCAUGCUUGAUAGUUCUGAUGUAAAUCUUAGGAUUGACAUUUCUACCAAUGAAGAUGGGCAUGAUGUGGAUGGGGAACACCUUGUUAUAAAACUUGAAAAAAAGUAUGCUAAACCUGUGAAGGAUAUAUUAAAAAAAUUUGGAUGGUUGGAUCUUACUAGGAAGGUUCGGCCAAGUCAGGAUGGAUGUCAUAUUUAUUUACCAGUUAGCAGAAAUUUCUAUGCCUUCUAUGUGGAAGAGCAAUUUAAUUCAGUAAAUAACUUUGAUAAUUUGGAAGCAUUUUAUCAACUAGGAGAAUUUUCUUUGAAGGAGCUUUCUGUAAAUGAGGUUUCUCAAUCAACUGCAUUGAAUUUUUUGUUGUCAUGUGGUGGUUCUUUACUAGACGAUGAUGUAGUCUGCAUGAGAAAGGUUCACAAAUCUCCUGAAAAGAUGAUAAAAGAAUCAGUUUGCUCCAUGCUGAGGAUAAAAAGGAUGCCUCUGCAGCUGUUGGAGCAGUUGCCUACAAGGUGGGAACAUCUUGGGGAUAUUGUUGUGCUACCAAAGACAUCUUUUAAGGAUCCUAUAUGGGACUCUAUAGGGAAGGAACUUUGGCCUAUAGUUGCCAAAGCGCUUGGUGCUAAUCGUCUUGCACGGCAAGGUCGAAUUUUGCCUACUGGAACAAGAGACAGCACUCUUGAAAUUCUUGUGGGAGACAAUGGGUGGGUUACUCAUCAAGAGAAUGGAAUCCUUUAUACAUUUGAUGCAACAAAAUGUAUGUUUUCCUCCGGAAACCUUUCUGAGAAGCUUCGUAUGGCUAGUCUAGACUGUAGAGAUGAGAUUAUUGUGGAUCUAUUUGCUGGAAUUGGAUACUUUGUGCUUCCAUUUCUUGUCAAGUACGGCUGGAUUUCUCUGACCUUAGGGCUAGGGCAAAACUGGUUUAUGCAUGUGAGUGGAAUCCUCAUGCUUUAAAGGCUCUUGAACAUAAUAUCAAUGCAAAUUCUGUGGCAGAUCGGUGUGUCAUACUUGAAGGAGAUAAUUGUGUCACAGCACCCAAAGGUGUCGCGCAUCGUGUUUGCCUUGGUCUCCUACCAUCAAGUGAGUGUAGUUGGGUUACUGCUGUGAGGGCUUUGAGGGCGGAAGGUGGUAUGCUGCAUGUGCAUGGAAAUGUCAAUGACUCGGAGGAAUUCUCAUGGUCAGAAUAUGUUGUUAAUUCCAUAAGGAGCAUUGCACAAUCUGAAGGUUUACAUUGGGCUGUUUCAGUAGAACACGUAGAGCGAGUGAAGUGGUAUGGGCCUCAUAUUCGUCAUCUUGUUGCUGAUGUAAGAUGCAAGCAAGCGUAGAUCCUUCACUUGUAUGGGUAAAUGCAUAUCAAGGAAAUAUAGUAGUGGCUGUUCUAGUGAGACACUUCCGGCUGGUUAAUUAAAUAUAGCACUUGAAAACAUAUUGAUCUACAUACUACCCUCUAAUUACGGCAUGAAUAAAAAAAAUCAUGAUUCAUUUAA